AACUGACAGUCAGACGCAGCUUAUCCCAGGCUCCCAGUGGGAUGUGGGACAGGGGAGGGGCUACAAAAUAGUUGUAGCAAAACUCCAAAACUUAAAAAGAAGAAAAAUCCUCCAUAAUUUGGUGAAUUAGUCAUUCAUUUAAUUAGUUUUCUGCAAAAGGGACUGCUUCCUGUAUGUUCACAAGGAGAUCAUGGGCAGUGGCUUAGAAGAAGAGAAAGGAUGUGUAUCACCCCUGCCCUCCCCUCUUUUCCUUUUUUUUUUUUUUUUUUUUUUUUUUNNNNNNNNNNNNNNNNNNNNNNNNNNNNNNNNNNNNGAUAGCUCACUGCAGCCUCCUGGCCCAAAACCUCUGAAUAUGGUCUCAUAUCCAUGAGGAAAUUAUCAAAGCCAUGGCUGCCUUUGUUGAAACACAUUAUAAUUCUCUGAAAAAUAAUAACAAUAAAAAAGCCAUUUUAGAUUCCAAUCCGCUGAAAGAAAACUAUCCCUUAGUUAAUGUCAUGCUUGUUGAAUCCAUGAAGUCUUUGAGAAUUUAAACUACAAGGACACUGCUCUCUGUGGUGGUGGAGAGAAUACCAAGGAUUUAAAGGUCUUUAAGAAAGAGAAUGUAGAAAGCGUACCCAUUGGAAACAGCAAGAUGAUGAUAAUCGUUCUGACAGUAAUAAUAAGCUCAUAUAUAGAGAGCUUACUAUGUAUCAUGAAUUGUUCUGAAUGCUUCAUAAAUAUAUGUUACCUCCUUUACCUUCAUGGCAGCCCAGUAAAGGUGCCAUUCCCCAUUUUACAGCUGGGGAAACUGAGUUACAGAGCUUUUCUGCACUGAGUCAUCAGGAGCAAAUGCUAGAUCAGGUAAUUGAACCCAAGCAAUCUGGUUCCAGAGCCAAAUAGAUGUAUUUUUUAUGGUAUAAAUGCAUAUACAUAUACUUUUAGGGGAAGGGUGGGGGUAGGAUGGGAUGAGGAUUCUGGGUAAUUUCUUGGUAAAUGCCAAAUACCUUUCUUGUCUGUCCCUCUUUUCAAAUGAUAAAGUAAUGUCAAUUUCAACACUUUUUUUUUUUGAGACAAGGUCUAGCUGGAGUACAGUGAUGCAGUCAUAGCCCACUGCAGCCUCAAAUUCCUGGGCUCAAGCAAUCCAUCUACAUCAGCUUCCCAAGUAGUUGGGACUACAGGCCCACACUACUAUGCCCAGCUAAUUAUUUUAAUUUUUGUAGAGAUGGCAGGUGGUGGUGGGGGUGCCUCGCCAUGUUGCCCAGGCUGGUCUCGAACUCUUGACCUCAAGUGAACCUCCUGCCUCAGCCCCACAAAGCUCUGGAAUUAUAGCCACUGUGGCUGGCUACAAUACUAUUUAUUUAUAUUUUAGACCAACAGAUAUUCUAGCAUAUAAGAAAUGUGAUGCUCUCUGUACAUUGAAGAGUUGGUCUAAUAUUUGGCCUGGUGCAUACAGAAAUUGCCUGUCUGCUCCUCUGUGGUUGAAGAAACCAGUCCGACUGUCUCUGAGGCUAUGGAGCAGUCCAUCAAGAAUGAAAGCCCUCUACCAGGCACUUUUCCUCACACCUGUAAUAC
rnacentral:lncRNA from 1 species